rnacentral:piRNA from 1 species
UAGGAGUUUUCAAAACCGCAUGAUGAGG